UGCCGUGCUAGACGGGGAGUUAGCGGUGCCCUGUACCUGCAAUCCGCUAUAGCAGGGUUGAAUUCCUCGAUUUGAGGCUAUACUAUGUGGGGUCUGACCUAUAUAAGUGGCGUUGAGAAUUGGGUCCCACGCAACGGAAACUCAUGAAACCCGUCAGGUCCGGAAGGAAGCAGCGGUAAGUGAUAAUUUUCGUGUGCCGUGGAUAAACCUGGUUUGAGUUAACUGUAUAGGUAACGUUCAUAUGCUAUAAGCCGAAGCGAGGUGCACGGUU
rnacentral:SRP_RNA from 1 species